UACAGAGGGUGCAAGCGUUAAUCGGAAUUACUGGGCGUAAAGCGUGCGCAGACGGUUGCGUAAGUCAGAUGUGAAGGCCCCGGGCUCAACCUGGGAAUUGCAUUUGUGACUGCAUCGCUGGAGUGCGGCAGAGGGGGAUGGAAUUCCGCGUGUAGCAGUGAAAUGCGUAGAUAUGCGGAGGAACACCGAUGGCGAAGGCAAUCCCCUGGGCCUGCACUGACGCUCAUGCACGAAAGCGUGGGGAGCAAACAGG
rnacentral:rRNA from 1 species